rnacentral:tRNA from 1 species
UAGCCUAGUGGUUAAGGCUAUGGAUCGCCAAUCCGGAGACGACGGGUUCGUUUCCCGU